CUUUACCUCUGCAUCCCUGUCUGCAUUUGGGUCCUACAUACUAAGUGCCUGGAUUCGUAACACUAUACAAGGUUUCGCCUCCUUUGGAAACUUCUCUUAGCUCAUCCAUUUGGCAGCCCUUUCCUUCAUCCCCUGUCACAAUACAUCUCCAGGAGCCGUGGAAGAGCUGCUGUCUUCAGAUAUGUGAGCGGAGAAUCGCAGAGUGAAAGGGGAAAGGAUGAGCCUAUAGACCAGAUGCCAACCAGUCUGGAGGAUUCUCAUUCAAGGCGGCCAAUUUAGUUUACAGACACUGAGACAGAGACAAAGCCCUUCUCAAGGCAGGGGUACCCACUGUAUCAUUGUGAUAAGAUGCAAGAUUCACAACCCUAGUGAUGAUGUAGGCCUGUCACUGGUAUAUGCUUGAUCGCAGCAAAUCUCCUCUUGGUUUCAUGUCACAUUUGGAUCGGACAUUUUUUAGAAGAACACUUGGAUUUAUUUUAUUAUAAGCUGUUACAUGUCAUAUGCACAACCAGGAUUCAUGUUGUUUCCUCUCCCUUGUAACCCUUAAGCUAAGUGGUCAUGAAAACAUGAGGAUGAUGACUUAUACUACACGCAAUGCCAGCAUGUGGCCAUUUGACCUUCAGUUUAACUCCUUUUGAAACUGUAUCACCAAAACCUGUUCACUAAGAAUUACAGCUGAUCUGGAUUAAGCCAAUGUAAUCUAAAUAAACUCUUCAUCCACAGGACACACUCACAUUUCCCUAGGGACUUAACUUUUUGAAAUGUAGGUGUUCAGCAUCAACAAUAACACUUUAAGCUGAAUGUCAUUCCAACAAUCCGUUUUUUUGUAUUGCAAUUAAUCUGCAGUAAGAAAUUAGAAAUUUAUAUAGAGUAUGUUGUAGACAUAUUAAUCUACGUACACAGUACCAGUACCUUAGUCUUUAUUAAUGGAAUGGAUCCAGAGGACACAGAAUAUGAUAAUCACCGACUGUCGAUGCUUUAUUAAGCAAUAACUUAAAUGAUAAAAGGUGGAGAUGAGCAGCACUGUGUGGGAUAGAAAAAUUGAGAUUGGUGUCUGCUGAGAGAAAUAUAAAUUGUAUCUGUUACUGUGCAGCAUUUGCCAGCCUCAUGGCUUCUGCCCUUUGUGUGUGCUACUGUAUACUGUAUAUCAUCUCUCGCACACAAAUACUAAGUAUAAAGGACAAGGCUUUGUUUUGUUCAACCCACUGUCUGUCCCUGGUGUGACACUUUGAUUUCAAAUGCUCAGAAAUUAGAAUACUAUGACAGCUACCCAGAUGUAAGAUUCCCAGAGCAACUCGAGCAAGCACCUUUGAAGUCACAGCAGAAGACAGCUAUGUAGGAUGAAGACGUUUCUGUCUCUUAAAUAGAUAAACUCAA